AGCGAACGCUGGCGGCAGGCCUAACACAUGCAAGUCGAACGAACUCUUCGGAGUUAGUGGCGGACGGGUGAGUAACACGUGGGAACGUGCCUUUUGGUUCGGAAUAACUCAGGGAAACUUGUGCUAAUACCGAAUGUGCCCUUCGGGGGAAAGAUUUAUCGCCAUUAGAGCGGCCCGCGUCUGAUUAGCUAGUUGGUGAGGUAACGGCUCACCAAGGCGACGAUCAGUAGCUGGUCUGAGAGGAUGACCAGCCACACUGGGACUGAGACACGGCCCAGAAUCCUACGGGAGGCAGCAGUGGGGAAUCUUGCGCAAUGGGCGAAAGCCUGACGCAGCCAUGCCGCGUGAAUGAUGAAGGUCGUAGGAUUGUAAAAUUCUUUCACCGGGGACGAUAAUGACGGUACCCGGAGAAGAAGCCCCGGCUAACUUCGUG
rnacentral:rRNA from 1 species